rnacentral:lncRNA from 1 species
GUUUUUCUGUAGCAAUAAUUCCUUACAAAAGAAACAGUGCAACUAUUUAAAUAUAUAAAGAGUGAGCAGUUCUGGAAGUGAUCUUCUGAAUGCAGUGGCUUCCAGGGUCAUUUAAGAAAAGGGGAAUUUGCUCUUCUCUUUUUGCAUCUGAAAAAGUUGAAGGUACAGAUGUGAAGACACAAAUUGAACCUGAAGUGGAAUUAGCAACAUAAAACUUCUGCCUCGAAGCUGGAAGCCAGAAGAAGCCCAAACCCCAAAAGACUGAAGAACUCAAAGAAACGUGAAGGAGGUUCAAGGAUUUGCAAAG